UCAAUGCAAGAGCACAGAGUUUGGUGAGGGACAGAGGGGACGUGCAGAUCUGGCCUCCUGAGGAGUGCAGGGAAGCCCGAUCACACGCACAGAAUGGUCUGUGGAUGUCCCCUCCUUGCUCUUCCUCACAGGGAACCUCCUGAUAAGACAGGAGUGGUUCUGUCACAUCAGUUGCUGAUAGCUUUUUGCGCCACUACUACCAAAUCUGUCCUAACACAUUUUUAAAGGGUAAAUCUAAACAUUUCCUGAUGUCACGUUGCAGGGGUGCCAAGGGUUAGUAUCUCCUUAUCGUGAGGAAGCAGUUUGGUUUCAAGGGACAGCCCAGAUGACCAGAUUGCCCCAGGCCUCAGCUGUCUCCUGGUUAACACCCUCCAGCUGACAGAUCCAGCUUACAGCAGGGCAGGAGAAGGUAUCCUCUGAGCCAGGAGGAACAAAACCAACAAACCCAACCACCAUGCAGUGAUCAGCAUGCUUGCAGCUUUGAGGAGCACCAGCUAGAAUUAUAGUGGGGCAUCGGGUGAUCAGGCUCUCUGAAAAGCAGAUGAUGUAGUAUCAAGCUCAAUGUACUUGUACAGCUGACCUUUUAAACAUUUACCAGAGGCUAUUCUCAGUAAUAGGAAACUACUGAUAUCUGCCUUUGCAGAUGUCCGCAGCUGACGUCAGGAAUUUCAGACACCAUUGUGCAAGUUGUGUUCUAACCUGUAAAACUUGUUGCAGUGAUGAUUAGGGAUAUGACAACUUUCAGAAAAAUUCACAGACUGCAGAGUUUUGGACCUGAAUUUGAAAAUAUUUGUGUGUCAGGAGAUUGUUGAAAAUUGUUGCUUGAAUGACACCUGUUCAAGAUUUGCAUGCUUCACCUGGAACUGCUGAUGGGUUUGAAUGUGGCUCUGCCAGACAUGGCCUUGAAAACCUGAAACAAUGUGAACAGACUGAGAUGGAGGCAAGCAGCCAAGGAGUUGAUCUCAGUUGACAACAGACAGAAAUCAAGCAUUUUGCUGAAUGGAGACAGGUGCAUGAUGGCACUCCUGCACAUUCAUGCUCUUACCUAUUCAGAAAAGAAGAAAUACUGAAAAAAUCUCCCCCUCCCUUACCAUCUCUGUGGCCAUUGUUCAUCCUGUUGCAGGCUGACAGAGCAGGAAUAUGGGAGACCAUCAAGGACUCUCCCCGCUAUUUCACUUCAGCUCUGAAGAACAUCUUUACCUGACAGAUGGUUAAAAAAUCAGAAUUAUUGCCUUUAUGAAGAAUUAAUAUUCUGUUUGUUUCUUUGCAGUUUACCUCAAUUUCAUGCUUCCCAGUAACAGUGUCUUGAAAAAUGCCCUCUGUUAUUUGAAAGGACUAUA